rnacentral:rRNA from 1 species
GGGGGGGGGGGGGGGGGGGGGGGGGGGGGGGGGGGCGGAGGGGGCCGGGGGGUGGGGGGGCGCAGGGGUGGGUGACGCGUGGGAAUCGGCCCUUGGGUUGGGAGUAGCGGGUAGAAGUGACUGCUCAUACCGGAUGAUGUCUUCGGACCAAAGAUUUAUCGCCCAGGGGUGAGCCCGCGUAGGAUUAGCUUGUUGGUGGGGUAAAGGCCUACCAAGGCGACGAUCCUUAGCUGGUCCGAGAGGAUGAUCAGCCACACUGGGACUGAGACACGGCCCAGACUCCUACGGGAGGCAGCAGUGGGGAAUAUUGGACAAUGGGCGAAAGCCUGAUCCAGCAAUGCCGCGUGAGUGAUGAAGGCCUUAGGGUUGUAAAGCUCUUUUACCCGGGAUGAUAAUGACAGUACCGGGAGAAUAAGCCCCGGCUAACCCCGUG